UGCUGAUUAAAAAAUCCGCCAGCUUCUUAUCCAGCUAUGCCCAGUUGCAGAUACUGGAGUCACACCAGCCUCUCUUGCUGCGAGGCUUUCACUAUCUUAUACCAUCACUGCUCUCUCUGAUGCCAGAGAAGAGAAGAGAAGAGAAGAGAAGAGAAGAGAAGAGAAGAGAAGAGAAGAGAAGAGAAGAGAAGAGAAGAGAAGAGAAGAGAAGAUCUGUGUUGAUUUCACUAGAAAACAGCAUUUUAUAAUACAAUCAUGGUGCUGUAGUAAAGCUGCAAAUUCACCCAUGUAAUCCCAGAACUCUGCUCUCAUCUCAUAUUUUUACAGGGAAAAUGAUAUUUGUCAUAAAAAUGGGAUAGAUCCUGGAACUGAGUCCUGAAGCUGGACUGAAAGGAACAAACCAAAGGAAUGAAUGCUGCAAUGGGAAGCUCUGAGCACAGAAAUGCCGGUGCAGUCUGAGUUGUCUCUUGGUAAUCUGCAUAAUUAAUUGAAAUUUGUUUUCUUUUGUACCAAAGGUAUGCAACGCAGUUACUUGUUUAAAAAAAUAAAUAAAUAAAUAAGAGUUUUCAGUUUUCUGAAAACUCUUGCUUUUAGUUUGACAACUUAUUCUUGCAGUACACGUUAAUAAAAACCCUCUUUUCCUGCAA